GUGGGUUAAGUUUUCACAGAGAGCUGCAUCUCAAACAGUGAGUACACGUCUUUCGCACUGUUCAUUCAUGUUAUGUUUUAUUUUUACACUUUCACUUUGACAUAUGUCCAUUUCCCUCUAUGUAUUUUUACUUUACCUGCUAUGACCUCUUUGUUUUGUAAGGGAGAGGUGUGUGUGUAAGGUCAUUGGUAUGCGUGUGUGUGCAUGUGUGUGUGUGUUUCCCUCCAUGAACCGAGCAGCAGCAGCAGCUGUAGCAACAUGUGGCUGUGGGCAUUGCUCCCUGUGUGUCUGGCUCUAUUUGGCACUGUGGGAAUUUGGACUGUGUUUGCUGUAUCUGUAACGAACGGAUCCGUCAACCUCACAGAAGGAUUCCCUUACAUCAGUCAGUGUGGCACUUACAACCCUCAGAGCUGUCUCUUCUCCCAGAUCUGCAACGUCUGCUCUGUCUUAGCCCUGUGGGUCGUGGUGAUCCGUUUCCAGCAGGUUAGGGACUUUGGAGACCAUGGAAAGGUCAACAUAGCCAGCAUCCUUCUGGGAUUCAUCUCCUCUGUAGGAAUCUCCCUCCUUGGCAACUUCCAGCAAUCAGUGUCAAAAAGUAUUCACCUUCUGGGAGCCAUGCUGGCUUUCUUCGUGGGCCUGGCCUACUUCUGGGUCCAGCUGUUUCUGACCUACAGAGGUCAGCCGUCUCAGGACCGAUGCUGGGUCGGACCUGCCAGAGCGACCUGCUGCGUCCUCUGUACCAUACUGGUCAUCGCUAUGACCGUACUCAGCAACACAGGCUUCCGCUCUGAAGCAGCUGUGUGUGAGUGGGCCCUGGUCAUGUUCUUCUUCUGCCUGUUUGGCCUUUUUGCAGCUGAGUUCAGACACAUCGACUGCCAUCGCCUCACUGUACAGAAACAAGCUCUCGGGAAUGACUGCAGGCCUUCCACUAUAGAAAUUAAUGGUUAUGUUGUAAAUACACUGAGCUGAUCACACACAAGUACAUUUAACGAACAAAUGAUCUUUAUACCUACAAUUACCAUUAUGUCUUGGAUGUAGGUACAAAGCCAUAAUGUACACAUUCCAUUGCUAUAUACAGUAUCUGAUAUUGUAGUAUUUUUGUAUUUGCCAUUUUGAAAGAUGCAUUAAUAACAAAUUAGUUUGAUAGUUUUAACAAAAGCUGUAUUUCAAACUUUUUUAAUAUUUUUAUCUUGUGCUUUUAUAAGAUUUACUACCUUUAUCCACGUUAUUUUCCAGUUUUUUUUAAAUAAUAAUCUAUUAUCUACAUUUUAUUAAUUAUGUGUUUGCCCUAAAAUAAUAUUUAGGCUGCGUUUACACUGCAACCAUUAGUGCUCAAUUCAGAUUUAUUGCUCGGAUCAGAGUUUUUUUUUUUUUUUUUAAUUAUUGAUAUUACAUAAAUC